rnacentral:rRNA from 1 species
GCGCGAAAACUUUACAAUGCUGGCAACAGCGAUAAGGGAACCUCGAGUGCCAGGUUACAAAUCUGGCUGUCGAGAUGCCUAAAAAGCAUUUCAUAGCAAGGGCCGGGCAAGACCGGUGCCAGCCGCCGCGGUAACACCGGCGGCUCGAGUGGUAACCGUUCUGAUUGGGUCUAAAGGGUCUGUAGCCGGCCGGAUAAGUCUCUUGAGAAAUCUGGCAGCUUAACUGUCAGGCUUUCAGGAGAUACUGUCUGGCUCGAGGCCGGGAGAGGGGAGAGGUACUUCAGGGGUAGGGGUGAAAUCUUGUAAUCCUUGAAGGACCACCAGUGGCGAAGGCGUCUCACCAGAACGGACCUGACGGCAAGGGACGAAAGCUAGGGGCACGAACCG